UACGUAGGGUGCAAGCGUUGUCCGGAAUUACUGGGCGUAAAGCGUGCGCAGGCGGUUUUGUAAGCCAGAUGUGAAAUCCCCGGGCUUAACCUGGGAAUGGCAUUUGGGACUGCAAGGCUGGAGUUUGGCAGAGGAGACUGGAAUUCCUGGUGUAGCAGUGAAAUGCGUAGAUAUCAGGAGGAACACCGAUGGCGAAGGCAGGUCUCUGGGCUGAAACUGACGCUCAUGCACGAAAGCGUGGGGAGCAAACAGG
rnacentral:rRNA from 1 species